rnacentral:rRNA from 1 species
UACGUAGGGUGCUAGCGUUGUUCGGAAUCAUUGGGCGUAAAGCGAGUGUAGGUGGUCAGUAAAGUCGGGUGUGAAAGCCCACGGCUCAACCGUGGAAGUGCAUUCGAAACUAACUGGCUAGAAGAUGGUAGAGGAAGGUGGAAUUCCUAGUGUAGAGGUGAAAUUCGUAGAUAUUAGGAGGAAUACCGGUGGCGAAGGCGGCCUUCUGGGCCAUUCUUGACAC